rnacentral:rRNA from 1 species
UACGAAGGGGGCUAGCGUUGCUCGGAAUGACUGGGCGUAAAGGGCGCGUAGGCGGAUGACACAGUCAGAUGUGAAAUUCCCGGGCUCAACCUGGGGGCUGCAUUUGAUACAUGUUGUCUUGAGUUCGGAAGAGGGUCGUGGAAUUCCCAGUGUAGAGGUGAAAUUCGUAGAUAUUGGGAAGAACACCGGUGGCGAAGGCGGCGACCUGGUCCGAUACUGACGCUGAGGCGCGAAAGCGUGGGGAGCAAACAGG